GAUGAACGCUGGCGGCGUGCCUAAUACAUGCAAGUCGAGCGAACAGAUAAGGAGCUUGCUCCUUUGACGUUAGCGGCGGACGGGUGAGUAACACGUGGAUAACCUACCUAUAAGACUGGGAUAACUUCGGGAAACCGGAGCUAAUACCGGAUAACAUAUUGAACCGCAUGGUUCAAUAGUGAAAGGCGGCUUUGCUGUCACUUAUAGAUGGAUCCGCGCCGUAUUAGCUAGUUGGUAAGGUAACGGCUUACCAAGGCAACGAUACGUAGCCGACCUGAGAGGGUGAUCGGCCAAACUGGAACUGAGCCACGGUCCAGACUCCUACGGGAGGCAGCAGUAGGGAAUCUUCCGCAAUGGGCGAAAGCCUGACGGAGCAACGCCGCGUGAGUGAUGAAGGUCUUCGGAUCGUAAAACUCUGUUAUCAGGGAAGAACAAAUGUGUAAGUAACUGUGCACAUCUUGACGGUACCUGAUCAGAAAGCCACGGCUAACUACGUGCCAGCCGCCGCGGUAA
rnacentral:rRNA from 1 species